CAUUCAAACACUUCAAUUUGUGGACAAGUCACCAGUAAUGCAGACAAGCUGCCAAUAAUGUGGUCGAGUCACCAGUAAUGCAGAUAAACUGCCAGUAGUGCAAACAAGCUUCCAGUAUUGUAAAUAAACAACUAGUAAUGUAGUCAAGCCACCAGUAGUGCAGAUAAACUGGUGCAAAGAAGCUGUCAGUAUUGUAGAUAAAAUGCCAGUACUUUCUCCUUACACAUGUCCCACCCCAUGCAUGUGAUAUAGCCACAUAAACAUAUUUUCACUUGAUACAAAAUUUCACUUUUAGGCAUGUGGAUCAUGCUUAUUCAAU
rnacentral:lncRNA from 1 species